rnacentral:tRNA from 1 species
GCGCGCGUAACUCAGCGGUAGAGUGCCACCUUCACACGGUGGAAGUCCCUGGUUCAAAUCCAGGCGCGCGCA